rnacentral:tRNA from 1 species
GGUGGUGGAGCUCAGUGGUAAAGUGCUUGUCUAGCAUAUAGGAAGCCCUGGGUUCUACUUUUAGCACCAUUC